GAGAGCCGUAUACCUGGGAACGGGUACGUACGGUUCGGAGGCGAACACAGGGAAACCUACUAUAGCAAUAUAGCAAGGCGCCCGGUGUUUAGCCUAC
rnacentral:ncRNA from 1 species